rnacentral:rRNA from 1 species
GAUGAACGCUGGCGGCGUGCCUAAUACAUGCAAGUCGAGCGGACGGAUGAGAAGCUUGCUUCUCUGAUGUUAGCGGCGGACGGGUGAGUAACACGUGGAUAACCUACCUAUAAGACUGGGAUAACUUCGGGAAAUCGGAGCUAAUACCGGAUAAUAUUUUGAACCGCAUGGUUCAAAAGUGAAAGACGGUCUUGCUGUCACUUAUAGAUGGAUCCGCGCUGCAUUAGCUAGUUGGUAAGGUAACGGCUUACCAAGGCAACGAUGCAUAGCCGACCUGAGAGGGUGAUCGGCCACACUGGAACUGAGACACGGUCCAGACUCCUACGGGAGGCAGCAGUAGGGAAUCUUCCGCAAUGGGCGAAAGCCUGACGGAGCAACGCCGCGUGAGUGAUGAAGGUCUUCGGAUCGUAAAACUCUGUUAUUAGGGAAGAACAUAUGUGUAAGUAACUGUGCACAUCUUGACGGUACCUAAUCAGAAAGCCACGGCUAACUACGUGCCAGCAGCCGCGGUAAUACGUAGGUGGCAAGCGUUAUCCGGAAUUAUUGGGCGUAAAGCGCGCGUAGGCGGUUUUUUAAGUCUGAUGUGAAAGCCCACGGCUCAACCGUGGAGGGUCAUUGGAAACUGGAAAACUUGAGUGCAGAAGAGGAAAGUGGAAUUCCAUGUGUAGCGGUGAAAUGCGCAGAGAUAUGGAGGAACACCAGUGGCGAAGGCGACUUUCUGGUCUGUAACUGACGCUGAUGUGCGAAAGCGUGGGGAUCAAACAGGAUUAGAUACCCUGGUAGUCCACGCCGUAAACGAUGAGUGCUAAGUGUUAGGGGGUUUCCGCCCCUUAGUGCUGCAGCUAACGCAUUAAGCACUCCGCCUGGGGAGUACGACCGCAAGGUUGAAACUCAAAGGAAUUGACGGGGACCCGCACAAGCGGUGGAGCAUGUGGUUUAAUUCGAAGCAACGCGAAGAACCUUACCAAAUCUUGACAUCCUUUGACAACUCUAGAGAUAGAGCCUUCCCCUUCGGGGGACAAAGUGACAGGUGGUGCAUGGUUGUCGUCAGCUCGUGUCGUGAGAUGUUGGGUUAAGUCCCGCAACGAGCGCAACCCUUAAGCUUAGUUGCCAUCAUUAAGUUGGGCACUCUAAGUUGACUGCCGGUGACAAACCGGAGGAAGGUGGGGAUGACGUCAAAUCAUCAUGCCCCUUAUGAUUUGGGCUACACACGUGCUACAAUGGACAAUACAAAGGGCAGCGAAACCGCGAGGUCAAGCAAAUCCCAUAAAGUUGUUCUCAGUUCGGAUUGUAGUCUGCAACUCGACUACAUGAAGCUGGAACCGCUAGUAAUCGUAGAUCAGCAUGCUACGGUGAAUACGUUCCCGGGUCU